GUAACGCGUGGAUAUCUGCCUUUGGUUCGGAAUAACCCCGGGAAACUAGGGGCUAAUACCGGAUAGGUCCCUAGCGGGAUAAAGAUUUAUCGCCAAAAGAUGAGUCCGCGUACGAUUAGCUAGUUGGUGAGGUAAUGGCUCACCAAGGCGACGAUCGUUAGCUGGUCUGAGAGGACGAUCAGCCACACUGGGACUGAGACACGGCCCAGACUCCUACGGGAGGCAGCAGUGGGGAAUAUUGGACAAUGGGGGCAACCCUGAUCCAGCCAUGCCGCGUGAGUGAUGAAGGCCUUCGGGUUGUAAAGCUCUUUUGGCGGGGACGAUGAUGACGGUACCCGCAGAAUAAGCCCCGGCUAACUUCGUGCCAGCAGCCGCGGUAAGACGAAGGGGGCUAGCGUUGUUCGGAAUUACUGGGCGUAAAGCGAGUGUAGGUGGUUUCCAAAGUUGGAUGUGAAAGCCUUGAGCUCAAUCAAGAAUGCUUUCAGGAUUGGAGGACUAAGGACCGGAGAGGAUUAGUGGAAUUCCCAAGUGUAAGUGGUGAAAUUACGGUAGACAGAUUGGGGCAAGAAAACCCAGUUGGCGAAAAGGACGGUUAAUUCU
rnacentral:rRNA from 1 species